GGCCCGCGGCCUAUCAGCUUGUUGGUGGGGUGAUGGCCUACCAAGGCGACGACGGGUAGCCGGCCUGAGAGGGCGACCGGCCACACUGGGACUGAGACACGGCCCAGACUCCUACGGGAGGCAGCAGUGGGGAAUAUUGCGCAAUGGGCGGAAGCCUGACGCAGCGACGCCGCGUGAGGGAUGACGGCCUUCGGGUUGUAAACCUCUUUCAGCUCUGACGAAGCGUGAGUGACGGUAGGAGCAGAAGAAGCACCGGCCAACUACGUGCCAGCAGCCGCGGUAAUACGUAGGGUGCAAGCGUUGUCCGGAAUUAUUGGGCGUAAAGAGCUCGUAGGCGGUUUGUCGCGUCGAAUGUGAAAACCCGGGGCUCAACUCCGGGCCUGCAUUCGAUACGGGCAGACUAGAGUUCGGUAGGGGAGUCUGGAAUUCCUGGUGUAGCGGUGAAAUGCGCAGAUAUCAGGAGGAACACCGGUGGCGAAGGCGGGACUCUGGGCCGAUACUGACGCUGAGGAGCGAAAGCGUGGGGAGCGAACAGGAUUAGAUACCCUGGUAGUCCACGCCGUAAACGUUGGGCGCUAGGUGUGGGGGUCCUUCCACGACCUCCGUGCCGCAGCUAACGCAUUAAGCGCCCCGCCUGGGGAGUACGGCCGCAAGGCUAAAACUCAAAGGAAUUGACGG
rnacentral:rRNA from 1 species